UGGGGAAUAUUGCACAAUGGGCGCAAGCCUGAUGCAGCGACGCCGCGUGGAGGAAGAAGGUCUUCGGAUUGUAAACUCCUGUUAAGUGGAAAAAAAUCACAACGGAUAAUACCCGAUUGUGGAUGAUGGUACCACUAGAGAAAGUACCGGCAAACUUCGUGCCAGCAGCCGCGGUAAUACGAAGGGUACGAGCGUUAUUCGGAGUUACUGGGCGUAAAGAGCGUGUAGGCGGCUUGUUAAGUUAGUUGUUAAAUUCCCCGGCCUAACCGGGGACCAGCAACUGAAACUGGCGAGCUAGAGUGUAAGAGAGAGAAGUAGAAUUCCCGGAGUAGCGGUAAAAUGCGUAGAUCUCGGGAGGAAUACCGAUGGCGAAGGCAGCUUCUUGGCUUAUAACUGACGCUAAAGUGCGGAAGCGUGGGGAGCAAACAGG
rnacentral:rRNA from 1 species